GCCUAGCCCCGAUAGAAGUGGAAAUCCUUUUGUGUCCGCCACGGCGGACACAAAAGAUUGGAACGGAUAGCGGGAUUAGCU
rnacentral:sRNA from 1 species